AUGACUCUCAUCACCAUCCUCAUCUGGACGCUGACCUGCUGCUGUUUUACAGGAUGCAGCGGUCAGGUGACUGUGACUCAACCUCCAGUAGUGACGUCUACUCCUGGAAACACUGUGACUCUGACCUGUAGGACCAGCCAAGCUGUUUACAGAUGGUCUGAUGGUAAUGAGGGAUCAGAUGCCAGUUCAUCUGUGACUCAGUCUCCUCUAUUUAAGGCUGCUGCUUUGGGGCAGACGGUCUCUCUGAGCUGUACAGCCAGUAAAGGAGUUGAUGAUGAUCUCAGCUGGUAUCUACAGAAACCUGGACAGCCUCCCAAACUGCUGUUUUAUAAAAUCAGCAGCCGUGAAUCUGGUACUCCGAGUCAUUUCAGCAGCAGUGGCUCUGAGCCUGAGUUCACUCUGACAAUCAAUGGAGUUCAGGCUGCAGAUGCAGGAGAUUACUACUGUAUGGGAGUGUAUGAAGGCCCAGUGUUCACACAGUGA